rnacentral:rRNA from 1 species
GAUGAACGCUGGCGGCGUGCCUAACACAUGCAAGUCGAGCGAACCCUUCGGGGUGAGCGGCGGACGGGUGAGUAACGCGUGGGUAACCUGCCCUGUACACACGGAUAACAUACCGAAAGGUAUGCUAAUACGAGAUAGUAUAUUUUAAUCGCAUGGUUAAGAUAUCAAAGCUCCGGCGGUACAGGAUGGACCCGCGUCUGAUUAGCUAGUUGGUGAGGUAAUGGCUCACCAAGGCGACGAUCAGUAGCCGACCUGAGAGGGUGAUCGGCCACACUGGAACUGAGACACGGUCCAGACUCCUACGGGAGGCAGCAGUGGGGAAUAUUGCACAAUGGGCGAAAGCCUGAUGCAGCAACGCCGCGUGAGCGAUGAAGGCCUUCGGGUCGUAAAGCUCUGUCCUCAAGGAAGAUAAUGACGGUACUUGAGGAGGAAGCCCCGGCUAACUAC